AGGGCACCACCAGGAGUGGAGCCUGCGGCUUAAUUUGACUCAACACGGGAAAACUUACCCGGCCCGGACACUGGAAGGAUUGACAGAUUGAGAGCUCUUUCUUGAUUCAGUGGGUGGUGGUGCAUGGCCGUUCUUAGUUGGUGGAGCGAUUUGUCUGGUUAAUUCCGAUAACGAACGAGACUCUAGCCUACUAAAUAGACUGUUCAGCUUUAUAGCCGGAAUCACUGGGCGUGUAGCUCUCCGCAAGGGGGGUUGCAUGUUCGGCUCUGGUGACGUUGGCAGUGCUUCUUAGAGGGACAGGCGGCGGUUCAGCCGCACGAAACAGAGCAAUAACAAGGUCUGUGAUGCCCUUAGAUGUCCGGGGCUGCACGCGCGCUACACUGAAGUGAUCAGCGUGCAAUUUACGUUGGUGAUCUGGUCAAGAUUGCCAAACCGUUGAACUUCUUCGUGAUGGGAUAGGGGAUUGUAAUUAAUUCCCUUGAACGAGGAAUCCCAGUAACGCAAUCAUAAACUUGCUGA
rnacentral:rRNA from 1 species